rnacentral:rRNA from 1 species
CGGGUGAGUAACACGUGAGCAACCUGCCGGGAAGCCCGGGAUAGCCCUCCGAAAGGAGGAUUAAUACCGGAUGUGGCCACCCUGCGAUUGCGGGGGAAGCUAAAGGAUUUAUUCACUUCCCGAGGGGCUCGCGGCCCAUCAGCUUGUUGGUGAGGGUAACGGCCCACCAAGGCGACAACGGGUAGCUGGUCUGAGAGGAUGGUCAGCCACACUGGAACUGAGACACGGUCCAGACACCUACGGGUGGCAGCAGUCGAGAAUCAUUCGCAAUGGGGGAAACCCUGACGAUGCGACGCCGCGUGGAGGAUGAAGGCCUUAGGGUUGUAAACUCCUGUCAAGAGGGAAUAAGCAAGUGAAGGUACCUCUAGAGGAAGGGGCGGCUAAUUCCGUGCCAGCAGCCGCGGUAACACGGAAGCCCCGAGCGUUGUUCGGAUUCAUUGGGCGUAAAGGGUGCGUAGGCGGCGCGGAAAGUCCGGCGUGAAAGGCAGGGGCUCAACCUCUGGACUGCGUUGGAUACUUCCGUGCUUGAGGACUGGAGGGGAGACUGGAAUUCACGGUGUAGCAGUGAAAUGCGUAGAUAUCGUGAGGAAGACCGGUGGCGAAGGCGAGUCUCUGGACAGAUCCUGACGCUGAGGCACGAAGGCUGGGGGAGCGAACAGGAUUAGAUACCCUGGUAGUCCCAGCAGUAAACGAUGUGAGCUUGAUGUGGGGGGAUUCGACCCCUUCCGUGUCGAAGCUAACGCGAUAAGCUCACCGCCUGAGGAGUACGGCCGCAAGGCUAAAACUCAAAGAAAUUGACGGGGACCCGCACAAGCGGUGGAGUAUGUGGCUUAAUUCGAUGCAACGCGAAGAACCUUACCUGGCCUUGACAUGCAUUGUGUCGUCGGUGAAAGCCGGCUAGUCCUGGAAACAGGACGCUUUGCACAGGUGCUGCAUGGCUGUCGUCAGCUCGUGUCGUGAGAUGUUGGGUUAAGUCUCG